GAAACAGUCUCGGAUCAACAUGAGUUUUCUUGUUCUUGCUUGUUCGUUUGGGCUUGCUGCUGGCAGCUUUGAUUACGCUGGUAGGCCCACUCUGGAUGAUUUACAGCAGUUUUACAAACCGGAAAAAGAGAUUUUCGUCCUGCAAAGAUCCUUCUCUUUCGAUCAGCACAAGGGAGAAACAAAGUGCAUCUAUAAUGAACAAAUAUCCCUGGUAGGAAAUACUCUCACUGUUAAAGAAGCAUACUCCCGCGACCUGACAGUCUAUAAUUACAAAGUGGAAAUGCACCUCACAAAAGGAGAAGGAAGGGACCGAGCGCCUCUAAUGGAGGCGAAGCCACAAGAAGAUAAGAAAUAUUCACGGACAUUACAGAAUGUGCAAGUAGAGCACGGUACAGUUCAACAACGAACUGAGUCGAGGCAAUACGUUUUUCAAUACCAUGACUCGGAUAAGCACUGUGCCGUAGUCACAUUCAAUGACGGAGUCACAAGAUGCGAACUCCUUUUCUGGGAAGAAAGCAAAGGAAUUACGUCACGUUUCUUAAACUGCCAGAAAGAAUAUAAAAGCCUGUGCCCUCACGACAAAGUAUACACAGUUUACGACGAUGAGUGCAAAGUAUGGUUUCGUUAUCAACUCUUUCAGUUAUCAUGGUCAGACAAGUAAACUGGAUAGAGGGAGACCUCGGAGAUUUCGAGAUCGUUUGAAAUGAAAUAACGCUUUUGAGCAGCACAAAGUGGGCCGCUCCAUUGUUUUUUUCGACACCUGCUGAAGAACU